rnacentral:rRNA from 1 species
UGGGGAAUUUUGGACAAUGGGGGCAACCCUGAUCCAGCCAUGCCGCGUGUGUGAAGAAGGCCUUCGGGUUGUAAAGCACUUUCGGCCGGAACGAAAUCGCGCGGGCUAAUACCCAGCGUGGAUGACGGUACCGGAAGACGAAGCACCGGCUAACUACGUGCCAGCAGCCGCGGUAAUACGUAGGGUGCAAGCGUUAACCGGAAUUACUGGGCGUAAAGGGUGCGCAGGCGGCUCCGCAUGUCAGGCGUGAAAUCCCCGGGCUUAACCUGGGAAUGGCGCUUGAAACUACGGGGCUGGAGUAUGGCAGAGGGAGGUGGAAUUCCACGUGUAGCGGUGAAAUGCGUAGAGAUGUGGAGGAACACCGAUGGCGAAGGCAGCCUCCUGGGCCAAUACUGACGCUCAUGCACGAAAGCGUGGGGAGCAAA